rnacentral:rRNA from 1 species
UGCCAGCAGCCGCGGUAAUACGGAGGGGGUUAGUGUUGUUCGGAAUCAUUGGGCGUAAAGGGCGCGUAGGCGGAUAUGCAAGCUUGGUGUGAAAUCCCGCAGCUCAACUGCGGAUCCGCGCUGAGAACUGUGUAUCUAGAGUUCAAGAGGGGAAGCUGGAAUUCCUGGUGUAGGGGUGAAAUCUGUAGAGAUCAGGAAGAACAUCAGUGGCGAAGGCGAGCUUCUGGCUAUGAACUGACGCUGAGGCGCGAAAGCGUGGGGAGCGAACAGGAUUAGAUA